CCUACGGGUGGCUGCAGUGGGGAAUAUUGGACAAUGGGCGAAAGCCUGAUCCAGCCAUGCCGCGUGUGUGAAGAAGGCCUUCGGGUUGUAAAGCACUUUCAGUGGGGAAGAAAGCCUUGGGGCUAAUACCCUCGAGGAAGGACAUCACCCACAGAAGAAGCACCGGCUAACUCCGUGCCAGCAGCCGCGGUAAUACAGAGGGUGCGAGCGUUAAUCGGAAUUACUGGGCGUAAAGCGCGCGUAGGCGGUCUGAUAAGCCGGUUGUGAAAGCCCCGGGCUCAACCUGGGAACGGCAUCCGGAACUGUCAGGCUAGAGUGCAGGAGAGGAAGGUAGAAUUCCCGGUGUAGCGGUGAAAUGCGUAGAGAUCGGGAGGAAUACCAGUGGCGAAGGCGGCCUUCUGGACUGACACUGACGCUGAGGUGCGAAAGCGUGGGUAGCAAACAGGAUUAGAUACCCGGGUAGUC
rnacentral:rRNA from 1 species